rnacentral:tRNA from 1 species
GCCCCCGUAGUUUAGCCCGGAUAAGAAUGUUGGCCUUUCGAGCCAAAGAUCCCGGGUUCAAAUCCCGGCGGGGGCA